ACAAUUUGAACAUUUAUAUGAUUUUUCUCCAGUGUGCAUUCGUUGAUGCUUCGAAAGAGUAUCUUUCUGAGAAAAACAUUGACCACACUCCGAGCAUUUAAAGGGCUUCUCUCCUGAAUGGAUUUGGCUGUGACUUGUAAGAAGUAUAGCCAGGAGCACAAACAGGCUGAGGAACAGUUUUUAUCCGUGGGCUGUCAAGACUCCUGAAUGAGAAAUAACACCAUAACUACGUAGUAUGAUGGACUGCAGGGCCGGCGCAAUGUGUAACAUGUUCACACUGGUGCAAUAGGACUGGGUGUUUUGUUAAUAUGAUUUAUUGGGUUAGGGAUUUUUUGUCUUCACUGUGAGUUGUAUUGUGUUGGGGAGGUGCACUGAGGGAACUCAGCCAAUCUCACUGUACAUAUGUUGUGCGCUGACAAUAAAGAUUUGAAUUGAA